rnacentral:rRNA from 1 species
UCCGUAGGUGGCAAGCGUUGUCCGGAUUUACUGGGCGUAAAGAGCGCGCAGGCGGUCGUACAAGUCGCGUGUGAAAGCCCCCGGCUCAACUGGGGAGGGUCACGCGAUACUGUUCGACUCGAAGGCAGGAGAGGGAAGCAGAAUUCCCGGUGUAGUGGUGAAAUGCGUAGAUAUCGGGAGGAAUACCAGUGGCGAAGGCGGCUUCCUGGCCUGUUCUUGACGCUGAGGCGCGAAAGCUAGGGUAGCAAACGGG